CCUACGGGUGGCAGCAGUGGGGAAUUUUGGGCAAUGGGCGCAAGCCUGACCCAGCAACGCCGCGUGAAGGAAGAAGGCUUUCGGGUUGUAAACUUCUCUUGUCAGGGAAGAGUAGAAGACGGUACCUGACGAAUAAGCAACGGCUAACUACGUGCCAGCAGCCGCGGUAAUACGUAGGUGGCAAGCGUUGUCCGGAUUUACUGGGUGUAAAGGGCGUGUAGCCGGGUUGAAAAGUCAGAUGUGAAAUCCUGCGGCUUAACCGCAGAACUGCAUUUGAAACUGUUGAUCUUGAGUACUGGAGAGGCAGACGGAAUUCCUAGUGUAGCGGUGAAAUGCGUAGAUAUUAGGAGGAACACCAGUGGCGAAGGCGGUCUGCUGGACAGCAACUGACGGUGAGGCGCGAAAGCGUGGGGGGCAAACAGGAUUAGAUACCCCUGUAGUC
rnacentral:rRNA from 1 species